CCUACGGGUGGCAGCAGUGGGGAAUAUUGCACAAUGGGGGAAACCCUGAUGGUGCGACGCCGCGUGGGGGAAUGAAGGUUUUCGGAUUGUAAACCCCUGUCAUGUGGGAGCAAAUUAAAAAGAUAGUACCACAAGAGGAAGAGACGGCUAACUCUGUGCCAGCAGCCGCGGUAAUACAGAGGUCUCAAGGGGUGUUCGGAAUCACUGGGCGUAAAGCGUGCGUAGGCUGUUUCGUAAGUCGUGUGUGAAAGGCGCGGGCUCAACCCGGGGACGGCCAGUGAUACUGCGAGACUAGAGUAAUGGAGGGGGAACCGGAAUUCUAGGUGUAGCAGUGAAAUGCGUAGAUAUAGGGAGGAAAACUCGUGGCGAAGGCGGGUUCCUGGACAUUAACUGACGCUGAGGCACGAAAGCCAGGGGAGCGAAAGGGAUUAGAUACCCCAGUAGUC
rnacentral:rRNA from 1 species